UACGUAGGGUGCGAGCGUUAAUCGGAAUUACUGGGCGUAAAGCGUGCGCAGGCGGUUUUGUAAGCCAGAUGUGAAAUCCCCGGGCUUAACCUGGGAACUGCAUUUGUGACUGCAUGGCUAGAGUGCGGCAGAGGGGGAUGGAAUUCCGCGUGUAGCAGUGAAAUGCGUAGAUAUGCGGAGGAACACCGAUGGAAGGCAAUCCCCUGGGCCUGCACUGACGCUCAUGCACGAAAGCGUGGGGAGCAAACAGG
rnacentral:rRNA from 1 species